rnacentral:rRNA from 1 species
AUUGAACGCUGGCGGCAGGCCUAACACAUGCAAGUCGAGCGGAUGAAGGGAGCUUGCUCCUGGAUUCCGCGGCGGACGGGUGAGUAAUGCCUAGGAAUCUGCCUGGUAGUGGGGGAUAACGUCCGGACACGGGCGCUAAUACCGCAUACGUCCUGAGGGAGAAAGUGGGGGAUCUUCGGACCUCACGCUAUCAGAUGAGCCUAGGUCGGAUUAGCUAGUUGGUGGGGUAAAGGCCUACCAAGGCGACGAUCCGUAACUGGUCUGAGAGGAUGAUCAGUCACACUGGAACUGAGACACGGUCCAGACUCCUACGGGAGGCAGCAGUGGGGAAUAUUGGACAAUGGGCGAAAGCCUGAUCCAGCCAUGCCGCGUGUGUGAAGAAGGUCUUCGGAUUGUAAAGCACUUUAAGUUGGGAGGAAGGGCAGUAAGUUAAUACCUUGCUGUUUUGACGUUACCAACAGAAUAAGCACCGGCUAACUUCGUG